rnacentral:rRNA from 1 species
AGGCUGCAGUAGGGAAUAUUGGGCAAUGGGCGGAAGCCUGACCCAGCCACGCCGCGUGCAGGAAGACGGCCCUCUGGGUUGUAAACUGCUUUUGAUUGGGAAGAAAGCAGCUCAUGCGUGAGAAUUUGACGGUACCAAUCGAAUAAGCCACGGCUAACUACGUGCCAGCAGCCGCGGUAAUACGUAGGUGGCGAGCGUUAUCCGGAUUUAUUGGGUUUAAAGGGAGCGUAGGCGGCUGAUUAAGUCAGCGGUGAAAGGUAGCAGCUUAACUGUUUUACAUGCCGUUGAUACUGGUUAGCUUGAGUUGACAGAAGGCAGAUAGAAUUCCUGGUGUAGCGGUGAAAUGCUUAGAUACCAGGAGGAAUACCGAUUGCGAAGGCAGUCUGCUGCAGUCACACUGACGCUGAGGCUCGAAGGUGCGGGGAUCAAACAGGAUUAGAUACCCUGGUAGUC